rnacentral:lncRNA from 1 species
GAGAAAGGGAAGUUGCCUGGUUUUCAUCUGAGUUUCUUAGAGGCUAAGGCCAAGGAGCAGGUGGAGUUGGGUAAUUAGAAAGCUGUUUGUGCUUUGAUUGCUGCGGGCAUUUAUGGGAUCAUUCUGUUUCCUAAUCUCAAGGGCUUCGUGGACAUUAAUGCCAUCCGCUUGUUUGUUCAGAGGAAUCCUAUCCCUACCUUGAUCGG